AUAGCGUAUAUUAAAGUUGUUGCAGUUAAAAAGCUCGUAGUUGAACCUUGGGCCUGGCUGGCCGGUCCGCCUCACCGCGUGCACUGGUCCGGCCGGGCCUUUCCUUCUGGGGAGCCGCAUGCCCUUCACUGGGUGUGUCGGGGAACCAGGACUUUUACUUUGAAAAAAUUAGAGUGUUCAAAGCAGGCCUAUGCUCGAAUACAUUAGCAUGGAAUAAUAGAAUAGGACGUGUGGUUCUAUUUUGUUGGUUUCUAGGAUCGCCGUAAUGAUUAAUAGGGAUAGUUGGGGGCAUUCGUAUUCAAUUGCUAGAGGUGAAAUUCUUGGAUUUAUUGAAGACGAACUACUG
rnacentral:rRNA from 1 species